rnacentral:lncRNA from 1 species
UGAUCCUUUCACAACUUCAUAAGCCACCCCAACUUGCAGCAACUACCAUCCUCAUCAGUCAGCAGCCAUCAGCAUUGAGGAAAGAUCCUUCACCAGCAAAAACAUAACACUUCCCAGAAAUAUCCUACAAUAUUUUAACAUUUUGUGGAAGGCUCAGUUGAUUGUUAGUGUUUUUAGCAAUAAAGUACGUUUAAAUUAAGGUAUCUCAGAUAUAAUGCUAUUGCACACACAAUAGACUACAGUACGGUGUAAAGAUAACUUUAAUACUUACUGAAAAACCAAAGAAUUUGUGUGACUUUAUUGUGUGCAUCUGAAACUGAACGUGCAUUAUCUCGGAGAUAUGCCUGUAUUAGCAAAUAUAAUUCAGCAAUAUAGUAUAGACAGAUAAGUGAAGUUUAUCCCAGAAAAGGAAGAAUAGAUUAUUUGUACUAAAUGUGUUAAUGCACUUUACCUUCCUAAUAUAGAAAAUGGACAAAUACAAUACAGAGAAAAUUCACAAAAGAAAACAAUGACAAUAAACAUUAUGGGGAAAAAAAGAGAGAGAAAGAGAAUGGACCACUCUAGAUAUCAAAUAAAUACAUAUUUAAACAACAAAAUGAAAUUUUUGCCUCAACUUGUUGAUGAUUGAAAUCAUUUAUAAUUAGUGACAUAGAGGCUUUAAGUACACAAGCAUGUAUUUUAUUUUAGUCUUUUUAAGAGCAAUUAUUAAUAUAUAAUUUUUAUAAGUGAGUUUUUUUAAUUUAGGAAUUUUACUGCUAGAAAUUUAGCCUAUAGAAAUAAUUACCAGUAUGCUCUAAGAUUUAACUACAAUAAUAUUCAAAAUAUUUUAAAACAAUGCAAUAAAAGAUUGGUUAAAUAAACAAAAUGUAUUGCAUACUUAAUGUUAUUUAAUAAUACUGUUGAAUAAUGCACUUUCAGAUGUUGGGAUAUUCUUCAUAAAGAAAAACGUACUAGUCAUUAUAAUGUACUCAAUAAAAGAUAAAGUUAACUUAUAAAGCAGUAUGCUCCCAUAUUUCUAAGGCAAAGGGCUACAUUAAGGAAACACACACAAAUGUAGGGACAAAAUAACAUACAUGUGCAUUAUUCUCUGAAGAGAAUGUAUAAAUUUCAAUGGAUUUUCAACGGCAGUUAAAAAUCUCCAAAAGUUCAAAACCAUAGAAAAUAAUAAUGAGAAUGAUCUUGCAAAUUAGAGGACACUAGUGAUUUUAAAUUUCUCCUUCUUGGAUGUUAAAUUA